GUGGGGAAUCUUGCGCAAUGGGCGAAAGCCUGACGCAGCCAUGCCGCGUGAAUGAUGAAGGUCUUAGGAUUGUAAAAUUCUUUCACCGGGGACGAUAAUGACGGUACCCGGAGAAGAAGCCCCGGCUAACUUCGUGCCAGCAGCCGCGGUAAUACGAAGGGGGCUAGCGUUGCUCGGAAUUACUGGGCGGAAAGGGCGCGUAGGCGGACACUUAAGUCAGGGGUGAAAUCCCGGGGCUCAACCCCGGAAUUGCCUUUGAUACUGGGUGUCUUGAGUACGGGAGAGGUGUGUGGAACUCCGAGUGUAGAGGUGAAAUUCGUAGAUAUUCGGAAGAACACCAGUGGCGAAGGCGACACACUGGCCCGUUACUGACGCUGAGGCGCGAAAGCGUGGGGAGCAAACAGGAUUAGAUACCCCGGUAGUCC
rnacentral:rRNA from 1 species